CAACAGGCAGACAGGUUCACCUGCGUCUGCUACAGCUUCUCUCUUGUUGCAGAGCAGCCUCUGGGCCCAUGGCAUGGGACUGUGAUUUGGGUGGUUGUGCUGUUGGCACUCUUCCUCGUAUCUGCAGGGAUCCUGUGGUUUGUGCUUUGCAGGAAAAGGAAGUCUUUGCCCAGCAAAGCUAAGGAGGAUAAUUAAAAAGGUAAAGGUGGCCAGGCUGGAGAUCAGUCACUCCAGCCCCUUCCCAGGACCACAGGAGACAUUCAGAGCAGUGAGGGAGCAGAGAAGGUUGGGAGGAUGACCCCAGCUCAGUGCUGAUGGCUGCCAGGCCCCCUAGCUCACCUGUGACUAUGACCAGCACUGGCAGUCCCAUCCAGUUCAGCAGAGCAAGAGGAAAACAGGAGGCCAAGGAGGGUUGUGAGUUCUUUCUUUCCUCACUCCCUUCACCUCCCAGCUUUCACUUACUGCUGUUUUAAGGCCUUUGAAUGCAACUUUCUGUAGUUCUUUUUUUAGGCUUUGUUUUCAUUUUUGCUUUCCUGGAAGCAGGAAUUGUAUGCCAGAUUUCACAGUCCCUGACUCACAUGGGCUCAGGCUGAGCGAUGGUCCAUGCUCCUGCCAUGUCCUGUGCUCCCAACCCCCCUCCCCGCUC